rnacentral:lncRNA from 1 species
CCUUCUCUUUUUCAUAGCUUGAGGUUCAGUCUUCACACCAGUUUUCCAGGAGUCAGAAGUCAUAAUUUUGACAGCUAUGUAUACACCUCUUUCCUACAGCUCUUCAGGACCUUUGUGACGUUACUGCCCUGAGAAGGACUGAGAAAGUGGCAGAAUGUAGACCCAUCUUCAUCCUGCAGGUAGAAUCAGGAAAGACUGUGGACUCAAACAGUGGAGAACCGUUGCCAAUCAAGGUAGAGUAGCUUUCUCUGCCUGGUGUCCUCAAGAGAGGCCAAGAGGAUACAUGUGGGUGUACCUUCACAAGAGAAGAUGUCACAAACGAUGGCAUAAGAAAAACCAUAGUGGAGAAGAUAUACAAGAAUUAGCCUGGAUCAGAACUGCCACAUUUUGGCCUCCAGAACCAGAGGCAGAAAAGACAGAUCUGGAAGGUGCUUGUCCAGCUGGGACAGAUAAUCAGUAGAGAUGGCACUAAAGAAUACAGGAAGAGUGCUGGACUUGGUAUUGCCUUCUUAGGUGAGUGCUAUCAACUACACUUGUGAAGGUCCAAAGA